rnacentral:rRNA from 1 species
ACUCAAAGGAAUUGACGGGGGCCCGCACAAGCGGUGGAGCAUGUGGUUUAAUUCGAUGCAACGCGAAGAACCUUACCAGGGUUUGAACUGUGUUUGAAAGAUUCAGAGAUGAGUUUCCCUAGCAAUAGGCAAAUACAGAGGUGCUGCAUGGCUGUCGUCAGCUCGUGUCGUGAGAUGUUGGGUUAAGUCCCGCAACGAGCGCAACCCUUGCUUUUAGUUGCUCAUUCUUAAAUGAAUAGCACUCUAAGAGGACCGCCGGUGAUAAACCGGAGGAAGGUGGGGAUGACGUCAAGUCAUCAUGGCCUUUAUGCCCUGGGCUACACACGUGCUACAAUGACCGGCACAAAGGGUCGCGAAGCCGCAAGGUGUAGCCAAUCCCAUCAAAGCCGGCCUCAGUUCGGAUUGCACUCUGCAACUCGAGUGCAUGAAGGUGGAAUCGCUAGUAAUCGCGGAUCAGCAUGCCGCGGUGAAUACGUUUCCGGGCCUUGCACACACCGCCCGU